rnacentral:tRNA from 1 species
AGCCCUGUAGUGAGAACACGCCGAAGUGCAAAUUCGGAGAAGAGCCCCUAAAGGGCU